GGAAUUUUGGGCAAUGGGCGAAAGCCUGACCCAGCAACGCCGCGUGAAGGAUGAAGUUUUUCGGAGUGUAAACUUCGUAAGAAUGGGAAGAAUAAAUGACGGUACCAUUUGUAGGGUACGGCUAACUACGUGCCAGCAGCCGCGGUAAUACGUAGGGACCAAGCGUUGUUCGGAUUUACUGGGCGUAAAGGGUGCGUAGGCGGCGUGUCAAGUCAGAUGUGAAAUCUUGAGGCUUAACCUCAAGCGGUCAGCUGAUACUGUCAUGCUAGAGUGCAGAAGGGGCAAUCGGAAUUCUUGGUGUAGCGGUGAAAUGCGUAGAUAUCAAGAGGAACACCUGAGGCGAAGGCGGGUUGCUAGGCUGACACUGACGCUGAGGCACGAAAGCUAGGGGAGCGAAC
rnacentral:rRNA from 1 species